rnacentral:rRNA from 1 species
UCCUGUUUAUCCUGCAGGAGGUUGCCGCUAUCAGAAUCCGGCUAAGACAUGCUAGUCAAUGGCAGCAAUGCCAUGGCAGAAGGCUCAGGAACACGUCGAUAAUCUUCCGUUUAGCGGGGGAUAACCUCGGGAAACUGAGGAUAAUACCCCAUAGGGAAUGCCGUGUGGAAUCCUGGUAUUCCCCAAAGCAUACGCACUGAACGAUGAGUCGGCGGCGGAUUAGGUUGUUGGCGAGGUAAUGGCUCACCAAGCCAAAGAUCCGUAAGGGCCUUGACAGAGGUUGCCCUGAGAAGGACACUGAGACACGGGUCCUAGCCCCACGGGGUGCAGCAGUCGCGAAAACUUCGCAAUGCGCGAAAGCGUGACGAGGGGAUUCUGAGUGCAUAAGGUUUAACUUUAUGCUUUUCUCGAGAGCGAAAAUCUCGGGGAAUAAGUGGUGGGCAAGACUGGUGCCAGCCGCCGCGGUAACCCCAGCGCCACAAGUGGGAACCACGUUUAUUGGGUCUAAAGCGUCCGUAGCCGGCUUGGCAAAUGCCCUGUGAAAUCGUCUUGCUCAACAAGACGGCGUGCAGGGUAGACUACCAAGCUAGGGACCAGGAGAGGUGGACAGUAUUCCCGGGGGAGCGGUUAAAUGUGAUAAUCCCGGGAGGACUACCAAUGGCGAAGGCAGUUCACCAGCAUGGAUCCGACGGUGAGGGACGAAAGCUAGGGGAGCGAUCCGGAUUAGAUACCCGAGUAGUCCUAGCCGUAAACGCUGCAGGCAAGAUGUUGCACAAUCCUCGAGAUUGUGCAGUGUCGUAACGAAGGUGUUUAGCCUGCCACCUGGGAAGUACGGUCGCAAGGCUGAAACUUAAAGGAAUUGGCGGGGGAGCACCACAACGGGUGCGGCGUGCGGUUUAAUCGAAUUCAACGCCGAGAAUCUCACCAGGGGCGCCGGCAGUAUGAAGCACAGUCUAAAGGGCUUUGCUGACGAGCCGAGAGGUGGUGCAUGGCCGCCGUCAGCUCGUGUCGUGAGAUGUCCUGUCAAGUCAGGCAACGAGCGAGACCUGUAUCCAUACUUGCCAGCGUGUUCGCAAGAAUGAGCGGGCACAGUAUGGAGACUGCCCUCGAAAGGGGGAGGAAGGUGCAGGCUACGGUAGGUCUGUAUGCCCCGAAUCUCCUGGGCUACACGCGCGCAACAAUGGAUGUGACAAUGGGAUGCAACUCCGAAAGGAGAAGCGAAUCCUCGAAACACAUCCCUAGUACGAAUUGAGGGUUGCAACUCACCCUCAUGCAGUCGGAAUCCGUAGUAAUCAGAUGUUAGCGUCAUCCGGUGAAUAUGUCCCUGCUCCUUGCACACACCGCCCAUCAAGCCAACCGAGCAGGGUCUCGACGAGGCAUUGUUCUUUGACAGUGUCGAACCGGGGUUCAGCAAGGUGGGCUAAGUUGUCACAGGGUA